CAGGACUCGCAAGACUCCUUAUCACCCUGUGAACCUACCCAAAACACGUUGCUUCGGCGGGUGCCGCGGCGGGGGUCUCCCCCGCCUGGGCGCUAGCCCGCCGGUAGCCUUCUAUACUCUGUUAUUUAAUUAGCAUUCUCGAAACAAAAAAAACAAGUUA
rnacentral:misc_RNA from 1 species